rnacentral:rRNA from 1 species
UGGGGAAUAUUGCACAAUGGGCGAAAGCCUGAUGCAGCAACGCCGCGUGAGCGAUGAAGGCCUUCGGGUCGUAAAGCUCUGUCCUCAAGGAGGAUAAUGACGGUACUUGAGGAGGAAGCCCCGGCUAACUACGUGCCAGCAGCCGCGGUAAUACGUAGGGGGCUAGCGUUAUCCGGAAUUACUGGGCGUAAAGGGUGCGUAGGUGGUUUCUUAAGUCAGAGGUGAAAGGCUACGGCUCAACCGUAGUAAGCCUUUGAAACUGGGAAACUUGAGUGCAGGAGAGGAGAGUGGAAUUCCUAGUGUAGCGGUGAAAUGCGUAGAUAUUCGGAGGAACACCAGUGGCGAAGGCGGCCUACUGGGCUCUAACUGACGCUGAGGCUCGAAAGUGUGGGGAGCAAACA